UACGUAGGGGGCAAGCGUUAUCCGGAUUUAUUGGGCGUAAAGAGCUCGUAGGCGGCCGUUCGCGUCGGAUGUGAAAGCUCAGGGCUCAACUCUGAGAUGCCAUUCGAUACGGGACGGCUAGAGGUAGGUAGGGGAAAGUGGAAUUCCUGAUGUAGCGGUGAAAUGCGCAGAUAUCAGGAGGAACACCGGUGGCGAAGGCGGCUCUCUGGGCCUUACCUGACGCUGAGGAGCGAAAGCUGGGGGAGCGAACAGG
rnacentral:rRNA from 1 species